rnacentral:rRNA from 1 species
UACGUAGGCAGCAAGCGUUGUUCGGAGUUACUGGGCGUAAAGGGUGUGUAGGCGGUUGCUUAAGUUUUGUGUGAAAUCUCCCGGCUCAACUGGGAGGGUGCGCCGAAUACUGAGUGACUCGAGUGCGGGAGAGGAAAGUGGAAUUCCAGGUGUAGCGGUGAAAUGCGUAGAUAUCUGGAGGAACACCGGUGGUGUAGACGGCUUUCUGGACCGUAACUGACGCUGAGACACGAAAGCGUGGGUAGCAAACAGG